UACGUAGGGUGCAAGCGUUGUCCGGAAUUAUUGGGCGUAAAGAGCUCGUAGGCGGUCUGUCGCGUCUGCUGUGAAAACUCAGGGCUUAACCCUGAGCUUGCAGUGGGUACGGGCAGACUAGAGUGCGGUAGGGGAGACUGGAAUUCCUGGUGUAGCGGUGAAAUGCGCAGAUAUCAGGAGGGAACACCGGUGGCGAAGGCUGGGUCUCUGGGCCUGUUCGUGACG
rnacentral:rRNA from 1 species